rnacentral:rRNA from 1 species
AAGCAGUGCGCUAGGUGGUUUGUCAACGUUCGGAUUGUGAAUCCCCCGGCUCAACUGCUGGCUUGCAUUCGAUACUGGCAGACUAUGAGUACUGUAGAGGAGACUGGAAUUCCUGGUGUAGCGGUGAAAUGCGCAGAUAUCAGGAGGAACACCGGUGGCGAAGGCGGGUCUCUGGACAGUAACUGACGCUGAGGAACGAAAGCGUGGGUAGCGAACAGGAUUAGAUACCCUGGUAGUCCACGCCGUAAACGGUGGGCGCUAGGUGUGGGUUCCUUCCACGGAAUCCUUGCCGUACUAAACGCAUUAAUCGCCCCCCCGGGGAGUUACGGCGCCAAGGUUAAACUUCAAAGGAAUGGACGGGGGCCCCAACAACCGGGGAACAAGGUGUUUAAUUCCAAUCCACCCCAAAAAACCUUACCUGGCUUUGACAUAUACCAAAUAUCUACAGAUAUAUGGCCGCCCUCGUGAUCGCUAUACAAGUUGUGCAUUGCUGGUCUUCACUUCUUUUUGGGAUUGUGGGUUAAAUUCCCAACCAGAGCAACCCUAUCUCAUGUUUCCCCACGUUAUGGGGGGAACCUAGAAACUGCCCGGGUCAACUCCGAGAAAGUGGGGAAAAGUCCAUCAUCAAGCGCCUUUAUGCAUGCUUCACACAUGCGAUACUGGCAGUACACAAGCUACGCAACCUGCAGUGGAACGAACCUUAAAGCUGGUUCGAUCGAAUCGGGUCUGCAAUCGACCCCUAAUCGGAUCCUAUAAUCCUGAUCACAUGCUCGUGAUCGUUCCGGCCUGUACACGCCGUCACGUC